GCCCGCGCUGCACCCUAGGCAGCGGGAUUUGCCCAUGUGCGAACUUCGGAAGAGGGGCACAGUGAGCUGAGAGGAGUGCGGAGGUAGCAAGAGCGGUUGCCCUUGAACUUGUGGCAUCUGAGCACAUUAGCGUUUGCUUCUCUACGGCCUCCUGCACGUCAGAAGCCAAACUUUCUGGACUGGCAUCUGGUUUCUGCUGCUUGCGCUGCUCUUCAUAAAGGAGAUACGGCAUGGAAAAGAACACUCCGUGGAAAAUUGGAUCUUCUUGAUGAUACCACACGGGAGUCUUUGCUAUGGGUGUAUGCAGAGAGUUUAUUCUGGUGGUAUUCCCCAUGCUUUGAGAAAAGAAAGAACAGGAGUUGUAAUAUUUCAAACAGAAACUAAACCAACUGGGAAAAAAUUUGAAGAGCCGGAAACUUCAAGAAACUCCAGCAGGGUUCAUCUGGAGUGAACUCAGCAAUGUACCAAAACCAUGAACACAGAAACAACUGCUUCUUCCAGCCACUCGACUUACCACCCAGAAGGCAGCGUGGAGAAGAG